rnacentral:rRNA from 1 species
GACGAACGCUGGCGGCGUGCUUAACACAUGCAAGUCGAACGGGCCUGUCUUCUUUUUUGGGGGGUGGGUUGAGUGGCGAACGGGUGAGUAUCACGUGAGUAACCUGCCCUUCGGUCCUGGAUAACCGCUUGAAAGGGCGGCUAAUACGGGGUGGUCCGGUUGGUCCGCAUGGGCUGGUCGGGAUAGAUUCACCGUUUUUGGUGUUUCGGCGGGGGAUGGGCUCGCGGCCUAUCAGCUUGUUGGUGGGGUGAUGGCCUACCAAGGCGGUGACGGGUAGCCGGCCUGAGAGGGUGGGCGGCCACACUGGGACUGAGAUACGGCCCAGACUCCUGCGGGAGGCAGCAGUGGGGGGUAUUGCACAAUGGGCGGAAGCCUGAUGCAGCGACGUCGCGUGAGGGAUGGAGGCCUUCGGGUUGUGAACCUCUGUUUCCGGUGGUGAAGGCCCUGUCCGUGUGGUGGGGUUGACGGUAGCCGGGGAUGAAGCGCCGGCUAACUACGUG